ACUCAAAUGAAUAGACGGGGGCCCGCACAAGCGGUGGAGUAUGUGGUUUAAUUCGAAGCAACGCGCAGAACCUUACCUGGGCUUAACAUCCUCUGACACCUGCAGAAAUGUAGGGUUCCCUUCGGGGACAGAGAGAUAGGUGCUGCAUGGCUGUCGUCAGCUCGUGUCGUAAGAUGUUGGGUUAAGUCCCGCAACGAGCGCAACCCUUGCCUUUAGUUGCCACCAUUAAGUUGGGCACUCUGAAGGGACUGCCGGUGUUAAACCGGAGGAAGGCGGGGAUGACGUCAAGUCCUCAUGGCCCUUACGUCCAGGGCUACACACGUACUACAAUGGCAGAGACAAAGGGUUGCAAAGCCGCGAGGUGGAGCUAAUCCCAAAAACACUGUCUCAGUCCGGAUUGGAGUCUGCAACUCGACUCCAUGAAGCUGGAAUCGCUAGUAAUCGAAGAUCAGCACGCUUCGGUGAAUACGUUCCCGGGCCUUGUACACACCGCCCGU
rnacentral:rRNA from 1 species